AUCAGGGCAGUAGCGCAUCCGACAAAAUAAUUGUUAAAGGCAUUUGCUACAUCUAAGGGAAGUUGCAGGGUUGUCACUACUACACCCACUUUGGAUUAACCCUAUAGAGAAAGUCUACUCGUGAUUAUCCUGGGUGCUACAGCAGAGUUCGUUACUAAGAUGGAAAAAGACAUCUCUGGUGGCGAAACCCAUGUUUCUACCUGGCCUACACAUUAUGUUAAACAGAAGCUGUCAAACUUGCUUAAAUGUCAUCUGUGUCAAGCCCGAAGGUGAAGAGUAUAAUAAGCAGUCAGUAUGUUACAUGUCAGAAGCUGUUGUCCUGCACAACAACAUUUUCCGCUCUUGAAUGAAUGUCUUUUUUUGCCAUACCUCUACUGACAAUAACCCAAUCUCUCAACAACCUGCGAGGUCUAGGUAUAAAUUAUAACUUGUGGAGAGGCUUGGGAGCAGUGGCGGCUCUAGACUUUGUGAGGCCGUAGGCGAAACUCAAACAUGAGGCCCCCACUAAAACCUAAAGUUAAAAAUAGGGGUUGCAUUGUGUGUAUAAGGUGCUGUAGUUGUAU